UAAUGCGUAGGAAUCUACCUAGUAGUACGGAAUAGCCAUUAGAAAUGGUGGGUAAUACUGUAUAAUCCCCGAGGGGGAAAGAUUUAUCGCUAUUAGAUGAGCCUACGUUAGAUUAGCUAGUUGGUGAGGUAAUGGCUUACCAAGGCUAUGAUCUAUAGCUGGUCUGAGAGGACGAUCAGCCACACUGGAACUGAGAUACGGUCCAGACUCCUACGGGAGGCAGCAGUGGGGAAUAUUGGACAAUGGGCGAAAGCCUGAUCCAGCUAUGCCGCGUGAGUGAAGAAGGCCUUCGGGUUGUAAAACUCUUUCAAUAGGGAAGAUAAUGACGGU
rnacentral:rRNA from 2 species